CCAACAUGGAUAUCCCAGAAGGUAGCUCUUUCUGAGCUCUGUACAAAUGAUGCACGGGAACACAAUGCUCUGCCCUUUCCCCAAUGUUGAAAGAAAAAGUCUGGCUUUGAGUCAGUACCUCAUUUUCUUACAACUUCUCAGAAUCCUGUGGAAAAUGACUAUGGAGACAAACCAUGCAGGAAUCAUUC
rnacentral:snoRNA from 1 species